GCGUGGAGACGCCGGCACAGCUUGGAGACGCCGGCACAGCUUGGAGACGCCGGCACAGAGUGGAGACAGACGCCGGCACAGAGUGGAGACAGACGCCGGCACAGAGUGGAGACAGACGCCGGCACAGAGUGGAGACGGUGUCGGUAGCCUACAGUGUAGAAGUCUUUACAUGGAAACUGAUGACUGUACAUAUUGCAUUUAUUGAGAAUUAUUUGGAUUUUUUUUAUACAACAUUCAAGAGUAAUCUACGCUUAAUUGAAAUGGUUGUUUUAAAUUGAUCCCUGGUAUUGAUCUCAUUAUAUGAAUAAUAGGUUAUUAAUCAUAUGAAUCCAGAAUGUAUUGGACCACAGACAAGAAAAUAAAAUGAUUUGACAAGUCUCCCCUGUCAAUGGGAAGGCAGAGAAACACACUAUUAGUAACACAUCUGAUUGGCACAAAUAGUCCAUAGCACAAACUGUCAGGAAAAUAUCAAACGUGUUCCCUUCAAACAGGAUACACAGCUAAUUGAAAUAUUGGGGUCAAAACAAGUUAGGUUAACGCUACAUAAACAAGGUCAAAAACUUGUACGGAUGCAAUUUUUUGAUUAUUUCAAAGUUGUCUGUUUUGUACUAGGGUUAAGGUAAUUUAAAAUAUAUAUAUUUAAAGGCAAGUCAAUUAAGAACAAACAUAGAGACAGAGACAACACUACAUAGAGACACCACAACACUACAUAGAGAGAGACACCACAACACUACAUAGAGAGAGACAACACUACAUAGAGACACCACAACACUACAUAGAGAGAGACAACACUACAUAGAGACACCACAACACUACAUAGAGACAACACUACAUAGAGACACCACAACACUACAUAGAGAGAGACACCACAACACUACAGAGAGACACCACAACACUACAUAGAGAGAGACAACACUACAGAGAGACAACACUACAUAGAGACACCACAACACUACAUAGAGAGAGACACCACAACACUACAUAGAGAGAGACAACACUACAUAGAGACAACACUACAUAGAGACACCACAACA
ensembl:lncRNA